rnacentral:rRNA from 1 species
AUUGAACGCUGGCGGCAGGCCUAACACAUGCAAGUCGAGCGGAGCGGCGGACGGGAGAGUAAUGCCUAGGAAUCUGCCUGGUAGUGGGGGAUAACGUCCGGAAACGGGCGCUAAUACCGCAUACUAUCAGAUGAGCCUAGGUCGGAUUAGCUAGUGGGUGGGGUAAAGUCCUACCAAGGGGACGAUCCGUAACGGGUCUGAGAGGAUGAUCAGUCAAACUGGAACGGAGACCCGGUCCAGACUCCUACGGGGGGCAGCAGGGGGGAAUAUUGGACAAGGGGCGAAAGCCGGAUCCAGCCAUUCCUGGUGUGUGAAGAAGGUCUUCGGAUUGUAAAGCACGUUAAGUUGGGAGGCGUUACCAACAGAAUAAGCACCGACUAACUUCGUGCCAGCAGCCGCGGUAAUAC